rnacentral:rRNA from 1 species
GAAGGGGGCUAGCGUUGCUCGGAAUUACUGGGCGUAAAGGGAGCGUAGGCGGAUAGUUUAGUCAGAGGUGAAAGCCCAGGGCUCAACCUUGGAAUUGCCUUUGAUACUGGCUAUCUUGAGUACGGAAGAGGUAUGUGGAACUCCGAGUGUAGAGGUGAAAUUCGUAGAUAUUCGGAAGAACACCACUGGCGAGGGCGACAUACUGGUCCGUUACUGACGCUGAGGCUCGAAAGCGUGGGGAGCAAACAGGAUUAGAUACCCUGGUAGUCCACGCUGUAAACGAUGAGUGCUAGUUGUCGGCAGGCAUGCCUGUCGGUGACGCAGCUAACGCAUUAAGCACUCCGCCUGGGGAGUACGGUCGCAAGAUUA